rnacentral:rRNA from 1 species
GACGAACGCUGGCGGCGUGCUUAACACAUGCAAGUCGAACGGAAAGGCCCUGCUUUUGUGGGGUGCUCGAGUGGCGAACGGGUGAGUAACACGUGAGUAACCUGCCCUUGACUUUGGGAUAACUUCAGGAAACUGGGGCUAAUACCGGAUAGGAGCUCCUGCUGCAUGGUGGGGGUUGGAAAGUUUCGGCGGUUGGGGAUGGACUCGCGGCUUAUCAGCUUGUUGGUGGGGUAGUGGCUUACCAAGGCUUUGACGGGUAGCCGGCCUGAGAGGGUGACCGGCCACAUUGGGCAUGAGUAACGGCCCGACCCCCUCCGGGGGCAAGCGGGGGGGAUUUUUGCCAAGGGGGGGGAAGCCGGAUCCAGCAACCCCCCGGGGGGGAUGGCGGCUUUCGGGUUGAAACCACUUUCCCCCUGGAAAGAAGGGUGAGUAGGGGAAAUGGGAAAAGAAGCCCCGGCUACCAACGU